rnacentral:rRNA from 1 species
CAGCCGCCACGGUAAUACGGAGGGGGCUAGCGUUGUUCGGAAUUACUGGGCGUAAAGCGCACGUAGGCGGCUGUGUAAGUCAGAGGUGAAAGCCCGGGGCUCAACCCCGGAAUAGCCUUUGAGACUGCAUAGCUUGAACACGGGAGAGGUGAGUGGAAUUCCGAGUGUAGAGGUGAAAUUCGUAGAUAUUCGGAAGAACACCAGUGGCGAAGGCGGCUCACUGGACCGUUGUUGACGCUGAGGUGCGAAAGCGUGGGGAGCAAACAGGAUUAGAUACCCCAGUAGUCCCUGUCUCUUAUAC